CUUAAUGGUAGCAGAUUAUGAUAGAACUAUCAGAUUUGUGGUAUCAUUACGUUGCUUACUUCUCAGAUGAAUAUAACACAGCAGCUGUGGAGUAAAAACUUUAGUUGCUUGUUACCUCGGGAGGAGACGGUGCCUGUCAUCGCAGUGUCCAGCUUUAUGCUCUUCCUCCCCAUAAUCUUCUACUUAAGCAGCUUCCUGCACUCGGAACAAAAGAAACGCAAGCUUAUACACCCCAAAAGAGCCAAGUCCAACAACAGCCUAAUGAAUAUCCAAGAUAAAUUCAGCUGAGUGGAGAUGAGGCGAGGAGGGGAAGAGAGGACACUGAAUCUUUGGUUCACCUCUCCCGCUAAAUCAACAGGCACUUUCAGCAUGGAUGGGUAGGGUUCACGUCUUCUCCUGGACCAAAGACUUUAUGAUGCUCUACAGAUGCUGUGAUCAUUUUUUUUUUUGCACUAUUUGUAAUUUGCACUAUUGAUUUAAAAUAGCCAAUUGCAAGUUUUUCUUUUUUUUUUUUUUUGCUUAGCUUUAAAAAUAAGAUAAUUCUACUGGUUUUCACAGAGGAUCAGUGAUGAUUUCCAUAAUUACGAUGCAUGUUAGUAUGACAUUAUUGUAUUUAAGGCAUGAAAGACAUAUGAUCCCGACAUUAGACUGGUUAUGCUACAAUUUUACUGCACUGAGACCAUGUUACAUUUGAUAUUUUUCUAGGUAAUAACAAAUGUGCACAUACACA